rnacentral:tRNA from 1 species
GUUUAAUAUCAUCGGUGGAAGGCUGGUUAAAACGUUUGGUUUUCGACCACUAGGACCCGGGUUCAAUUCCCGCAUUGGACA